rnacentral:lncRNA from 1 species
AAGUGCUGUGAGCCACAAGUAACAUCAAGAAAAGACAGGGAUGAAGAACCGCACUUACAAGCUAAGUGUAAGCUCAUCCUACACAUGUCAUUUGGACCAGACCAAGGCUGCUGUCAUGGAGGACCCACACCACAGCUUGGGAACCAUUCAUCUACCAGAGGGUCACAUGACUUCAAAUGACUCUUCUAGGGGCCACCUGCCAUGAUAGGGUACCAGCUCUUCCUCUGAAUUCCCAAUCCAUUUCUUGAGAACUACUGUUUCUAAUAAGAGGGGAAGAAGGUCAUGUGGGAAUCAGUUAAAUCACGUGUGGAUAGAAGACAAGUUCCAGCUUUGUGGGAAAUCCUGUAGCCUUCGCCAGGUACACCCUGACAAUCUCAGAACUGAUCAGAGUUUUUGUUCCAUGUGAGAUACCCACGCCACUUUAAAAAACAAACUAUCCUGACAUCUAAUUACUUUGUGAAUGAUUGUAAUGGCAAUAACAAUAGAGAUGGAAGAAUUUUGGAAACAA